CACGGGGGCGGGAGAGCAGCUUGUCGGGGGCAGCAAAGUCGCGGUUGGCACAGUGUAUGAAUCCUUGGGCCUGUGGCGCUUAUUCAUCAAGAAAUGGCUUUGGGCUGUAGAAGUAUCGGGAAACUGAAGCUUUCGACAAAAGACUAAAAAACUGAUAAAGAAAAAGGACUCUGUGGAAGACACAGAUGAAACAUAGGAUAAGGCUAAAACAGAAGGAAAGCAAUUAAAAUCAAAGCAAAUGCCUCAUCCAGCAUUAAAACAUACAAAGCGUAAGAAACAAAAAGAUAUUAAAACCCCUGAGGAAGAAACAGUGGUUGCGAAUAAAGAUGAAGAUCAGAAUUCAGGGUC